GGCUCCGCUCCACCGCGCGAGGCUGCGCGUCCUUCGCAGUGAGGUCCCGGCGCGGCCCGGCCCGUUCAUUUGAGGGCACGGAUGUUUCCAUGCAGGCGAGUUUGACAGCAGCCCUCAUACCAAGCUAUUAUGAAGUGUGAUGUCAGUGCGUUCUGGAGAGCGGAUAAUACAUAAGCCAGUCCUUGACACACUACCUUACAAGGGAAACAUCUGAGACCAUCAAAUCUACCCUACCGUAAGAGUAGAAAGCAGUACCUUUUUCGGAAGUCAUGGUUAGAGGGUGUUCUCUGGAGACUUGUCGUAUUUCCUUUGCCUUAAUUCAGUGGCUCUUGGCUUCCCCCCACUGCAGCAGCCUGGGUCAGAACAACUGAGUUAAGAUCUGGAGAUAACUGAGUUUUCCCUCUGGGGGACGGAAGGGGUAGGAGAAAGAAAACAAAAUCGGUUUUACUGUGCAGCCAAAGGACUACUCCAGAUGCUAACGAGGCUUCUAAUGUGAGGAAAAACACAGAAUGACAAGUGUGGGAAAGAGCAAGCACUAAAUUACUGUCAGAAAAAUAAACGGAGUAGCACAGUGGUGCUCGGUGAUUUACGGGGGCAAUUAGUCACCACCCCACGGCGCUGCUGAGGACAGCACGGCAGCAGACGCGUCAGGCCCGAGAGGAAGAAGAGGCUUUGCACUGCUCUCCAGACAACUUUUCAAACAACGAGAGAGGAUAUUUGAGCACAUUAGGUUCCGUGUCUUCAUUCUGGGUACCCACCCUUCACAUGAUUCAACCAACCUCAUACAUAAAUAUAUUUUUAGCACAAUAUUAACCUGUUCUGUGUAUGUUAAAAAGCCUCCAACUGCAGCUUUUUUCUCUCCCACUGUCCAAAGUAGGUUUUCCCCCAUCCCUUGAAAAACAAAACAAAAAAACCUUUCCCCACUCCCAAAUCGUCCCACUGGUGCAUGCCUUCCAUCUGUCUCGUUACUUCUAGCAUCUUGCUACCAUGUUUUGCAUUUGCUCAGAGCCACUGGGUGCUAAGGAAUUUGGUCUGCAGCUCACAUCCCGGGAAGUUUGGUUAUUAAACACAGAGUAAAUAAAAAGCAUAGAUAAACUUCACAAUGUUUGUUUACCUGCUCUUUACUAUACUGUAGGUAGGGCCUGUAUAUCUGUACCUAGCAAAAUAAACCUACUAAAAUAUAAACUGGUACACAUUCCUGAAUAGGAAUUCUUCUCCAUCAGAAGAAAUCUCCAGUGGAAGUCCGGGAAAGAACCCAGGACCGAUGAAGGCUUGAGUGACUAAAUGCUGUGUGUGCAUGUGUGUGAGUGUAUGUGUGUGUGUCGGGGUCAUAGCAAGGCAACUAAGGUGAGCAGAUGAAGCUGCAUCCAGGGUUCAGUAUCCUUAGGUAGUGCUAGCCAAGAAUGCUGCCAUCUUCCAUUUCUGAAGCACUUUACAGAGGGCAUUUGGAAUUCCUUUUCUCAUUUGAUCUUCCUUUGGCUUGAGUUAGGAGCACCUGCUCAGUUAGAAAUGUGUUCAGCGAGUAUGUGCACAGUUGGAGAAUGUGACCCAACACAUGCCACCUUGGCCUGUUAGCUGGAGUCCUAAAGAGGCAGAAUCGUGUUGAUGAGCUGGUGCCGGCAGGAUGCACCAUUCAACUGGACACUUAAUUUCUGACAAAGAGAGUCACAACUGGGAAAAAUGCAGACUUCACUGACUAAUCUCCAUGCUAUUAGGGUCCCCCACCUUGAAUUCUAUAAGCACAGUGUGCCUUUUGAAACAAAAAAUAAUACAAUAUUGAAAUACAUAUUUGCGACUGCAGUAGCACUGGUCUUCAACUACCCUGUUAAAAAAUGCAAGCCCACCCAGGAAAGGAGGCAGAUGAGUUUCUCUGCAGCAUCGCAGGCAUAUGAAAUCAUGCAGAUGUUAUUGAAUACCAGAAGUGAGCCUAUUUUAAACCACUUCAUGCAUUUUUUCAGAGCUCUUUUCUGAAGUCAUAUUUGUAGUUUCUGAUUGACACAAUUUGGAAAAUUACAUAUAAAAUAAAAUUUAAGGUAUAAAAUUUCUGUAUUUCUGAUAAAUUUUAUGUUCCUUGGUUUUUUUUUAUAUACAUGUUAUUUUUGUUUAGAAAUUAUGAGCUAGUUAAAAGUGAAAAUGACUUUGGCUAAGGUACUUAUUUAUUAAUAGAAAUAAUAACCUUUUUAUAUCUGGGUUCAAAUAUCUUCUGUGCUAAUCAUUCUGUACGUUUCUAAGAGAGGAUUUGGAUUGAGCGAAAGAGGAGGGUGGAGCUUCCUCAUGCCCCUGUGUUGUGUGGAAUCUUUAUGUAAUACUCUGACUUAGCUGUAUUCUGUAAUUCCUGGCUAUUUCGGUAGGGACUGUAAUUUUAGAUUAAUAGUUAUAAUUUUCAUAAGGUAGACAUGAAAAGUUAUAUGCUCCUGCUUAAAAGGAGGGUCAUUAAAUAUUCAUUAUAACCCCUGAAAAUAGUUGUCAUGCUCUGUAUAACAGUUACCUGUUAUCACUUCAGUAGUUUAGAUUCAGUAAUAUUUAGCUCACAUCAGUAGAGGAAUUUUUGUUGGGGAACAGAGAGAAAUGAUCUUAAAACCCAUUUGACAUAUUUAUGUUGACAAAUUAUUUAAAGGAAUUACUGCUUUGUCAAUAAACAUGUUUGUGUA